UACAGAGGGUGCAAGCGUUAAUCGGAAUACUAGGCGUAAAGCGUGCGCAGGCGGUGAUGUAAGACAGAUGUGAAAUCCCCGGGCUCAACCUGGGAACUGCAUUUGUGACUGCAUCGCUGGAGUGCGGCAGAGGGGGAUGGAAUUCCGCGUGUAGCAGUGAAAUGCGUAGAUAUGCGGAGGAACACCGAUGGCGAAGGCAAUCCCCUGGGCCUGCACUGACGCUCAUGCACGAAAGCGUGGGGAGCAAACAGG
rnacentral:rRNA from 1 species